GCUUCUUAAAGCUGCUUCUACUCUAGAGGAAGGCUCUGCAGGAAGGCACUCAUGUUUUCUCUCCCAGGCCUGCACCACGCCACAACUCUUUCCAAGACAUUUUAAGGAGUCUUCCCAUUUCCAGGGUAAGUCCUUCCAGAACCAAAUGGAUGAUGCCAAGCAGAAAGAAUGCAUCUGAAAUCCCUUGGAAUGCUUUGCAGUGAGGAUGGAUCUCAGGAUGGAAAGCGUGGACCCACAAGUACAAUUUUAUGAUCCUGGAUAGAGAAGCAGAUAGGAAUGUUCCUCAACAUUGACACUGGUGAAGACAAAUUGAAUUCAGGAGAGGUAAGAACUUCAUCGAUUUAUUGAUAAGCACUUAGGUGAAACAUUUCAUAAAAAUAGGG
rnacentral:lncRNA from 11 species